AGUGAACGCUGGCGGUAGGCCUAACACAUGCAAGUCGAACGGCAGCACAGUAAGAGCUUGCUCUUACGGGUGGCGAGUGGCGGACGGGUGAGGAAUACAUCGGAAUCUACUUUUUCGUGGGGGAUAACGUAGGGAAACUUACGCUAAUACCGCAUACGACCUACGGGUGAAAGCAGGGGAUCUUCGGACCUUGCGCGAUUGAAUGAGCCGAUGUCGGAUUAGCUAGUUGGCGGGGUAAAGGCCCACCAAGGCGACGAUCCGUAGCUGGUCUGAGAGGAUGAUCAGCCACACUGGAACUGAGGCACGGUCCAGACUCCUACGGGGGGCAGCAGUGGGGAAUAUUGGACAAAGGGCGCAAGCCUGAUCCAGCCAUACCGCGUGGGUGAAGAAGGCCUUCGGGUUGUAAAGCCCUUUUGUUGGGAAAGAAAAGCAGCAGGUUAAUACCCCGCUGUUCUGACGGUACCCAAAGAAUAAGCACCGGCUAACUUCGUG
rnacentral:rRNA from 1 species